rnacentral:lncRNA from 1 species
GGGGGGGGGGGACACGGACGGACGGACUGAGCGGCGCCCGUCUUCCGAUUGGGCCGAACCGGCGGACAUUCCUGCCCACUUCAGCCUUUCCGGCUUUCUCAUUGGGCGGCGCCGCGGGGGACGGUGGGCAACCCCGACCCCACCCCGCCUCGGCGGGCCAGUGGGAAAAUGGUUGCUGGGCAGGUUGAAAGGGUUGCUGGCCAAUGGGAAGGCGGCCAGCUGGCGGGCGCGGUGCACGCAGCGCUCUCCCCCCCCCUCCCCGUCCGCUGCUGUGGGUGCCGCGGGCGGAGGGAAGGGCGGAGCGGAGGCUGCCGGGGCCCGGCGGGGGUGGCGCUCGCCUCCGCCUCCUCCUCCUCCUCCCUCCCGGUCGGAGUCCCAGCCCCGCCGAAGGGAGCCCGGCCGGCUGGCUUAGGGAGGGCACGGCUGCGCGAAGGAACGGGGUUGGGGGGGGGCUUUCCUCCGCUCCCAGGUUCACAUCGUCCUACCUCGGUGGAUGGCUUGGCCUCUUGAAUAGCUCAAGACUCUUGGAUGACCACACUUUAUGCAAAAUCUGGAAUCUUCCUGCCUGA